AUAUCCUGACCUAAAUGCCCUAAAAACACCAUAUCCUAACUGAUUUUGGAAGUUAAGUGAGGUCAACCCUGGUUAGUACUUGGAUGAGAGACUGACAGCAAAAACCAGGUGCUGUAUGCU
rnacentral:rRNA from 1 species